AACACUUUCUGACACUUUUCCUGAGCACCAACAACCCGGCCACUUUCUCGGGAGAGGCUCGGGGGGCUCAGUCUCCCUCCUCCAGAGGCGCUUCCCAGGCAGAGAGAAAGGAAGGGGGGAGAGAAGGGCAGGGGGUGCGUUUGGGGCCCGCCGGGCACUCACUCCGGUAGUACUGGUUCCUGGCCAGGAGGCAGCCGGCGGACGGGACGGAGGCCAUGGCAGCGACAGACGGGGAAUCCGCCUUUCUCCGGGAGGAGCCUGCGGGGGAAAGGACGCGCUGAGCUGUGGGUAAGAACACAGAGGUGAAGAGUGUGUGAUACGAUGUUACUGUCACAUCUGCUUGAAUAGUGAAUUCUAUCUCAAAUGGACAUAGCUCACAAUAGCUCCUGGCAUAUUUAUAAGAGUGUAAACCACACUGCAGGGAAACCACCUCUAAAACAAUACCUACACAGCAUUUGUAGCAGGCCUCACAAACAUCCAUCCAUUUCAGAGCCAUGCCAAAAUACUCAGGAGCUGUGGAACACCAGUAAGAAUGCAGAAUCCUCUGAAUAUAGAACUGCAGGCUUUCCCAGUGUUUUUUCGUGCAUGGUCAUUCUGGCAGACUGUUUCUAAAAUACUGGCACAGCUAUUUUAAAGUACUGCUACAAAACCAAGGUAGAAUGGGCUGAGGCUCACCAGUUUCAACACAACCUGAUACCUCUGCAAAGGCAUCCUCGAAAGUUGUAGUAGCCCAUCAUGCCUCACAGUGCAUAGACACUAUCCCUCAGAAUUGAGACAUAUUGGCAUCCUCAUUUCUUGACGACUAGUUCUGUCACCAGGCCAGAUGCUCAGAAUGGAGCAGCAUGAGGUGCAAAAAGAAUCAGGGAACUUGUGAAUAAGAAGAACAUAUUCAUAAUUUUGCAGCUGGAAAAUUUCCGAUUAACCUAGCAACAGAGCUGGCCCAGGACAUCACAGAGCAGAAUUGUUCCAAAAUUAAGAAGGCAAAAUGUACUUGUACAGCCGUCUUAGAGUAAACUGUACAUCCUGAAGGUGUGGCAGACUUUUGUCUUCUUGGUGAGGUUGUGACAGCAACACCUGAAGAAACAUGAAAGCCUUAAUUCAGUCACAAAUCCCUCCAGCCUGCAGAGCAGGAAAGCUGGCUGUGUCUGACUUAUCACACCAGUACAUCAGGUCAGAUCCUCAGUUCAUUAUGCUUGUUGUUUCCUUCUUCUCUCAAAAUUUAACCAGUUGACCUCAGUUGUGCAAAUACCAUUAGGACUGAUCAGGUACUCUGCCAUUUUUUCUAGACUCCCACACACUUAAUUUCAUCUGAAAUAGUAGUUUAAAAAUGCUUAGUACCAUUCUUUGGCCCUGAAGACAACUGUUAUGAAAUGGCCAACAAGCACACUGUUUUAUACUGCAAAAUAAGAUGUUUACAACCAAAAUGAUGAAGAAUUCUCUCUUGCUUGUGUUAAAACCCAAGCUGCUUAGCAGUUUUUUGGGAAAAAGCCAGGGAAAGCCCUAAGCCAUUCCAGGACAUUUCUAAUUAUCUUAAUAGCAUGGACAAUCAUGUUCUGUCUCCUGUCAAGGUUCCCUGGCAUUAAUUCAAGGGCUAGUUAAUUUAAUGUAACGUCACCAAUACCUAGUGUAAGAUCCAGAGUCCAAUAAGCUGGCAGACAAAUGACUCUGCUAGGCAUCCAUUUGAAAACCUACCAUGUUUAACAUUUGGGUGUAGAUGGCUAAUUAGAGUCCAGUUAUUGCAUUUCUUUAGAUCUAAUGCAGUGGCUGUUUCCAUCUCCACAGAUGCUGCUGGCAGGAAGUCUUUCUCUGAGGCUUCUGCAAAGCUGCCUCCACAUGCACAGUGCCAAGUCUUUUAGUGCAGCAAGGGCCAGAGCACAGUCCCAUUCACACAACCAGAGAGGGCCUUCUGCCUUAAAUAUGCAACACACCAGCAAUAAAAAGAGAGGAGAACAGGCACUGCCAAUCUCUGUUUCUCUGAUCAUUUAGGAGCCAAAAAAAAAAGAAAAAGCAAUCCAAAAAGCAGGAGAGAAAAUAGCCAGACAUGCAACUUCUUUGGGAGACCAUUCUUCCCAGUCUCAAUCCUACCUGACACCAUUGCUGAUCCUCUAAGCAUGACAUACUGACACUGCACUUCAAUUUGCCUUAUGAAAAAGGAAAGGUAGCCAAGCUGAGCACUUCACAAGAUAAAAGUGCCCAGCAUCCCAGCAGAAUUUGCUCCAAAUAUGAACUCAUCUCACUUGCAAUGAAGGCAUAGUUGGCAGCAUUUCCUGGAGCUGAGGAAAAACAGUAAGAGCUUCUUCAUCCCAUAAAACUAUAAGGUGGAUGCAAGUGGUUAGUCUGUGUCAGGAUAUACUGUUUACAUUCCCACGUGGGAAUCUGAGGCCAUGUUCACUGCUACUGAACCACUAGCGUUACAGGUUUGAAACAGUAGUAGUACACUCAAGAAACACAGAAGAGGAUGAAAUGAAAUGAAAUGAAAUGAAAUGAAAUGAAAUGAAAUGAAAUGAAAUGAAAUGAAAUGAAAUGAUGAAAUAAAAUAUGGCAAGGGAUCCUUCAAUCCAGAGUGUCUUAAUCUGUAGGAUGUAUUUUGCCAAGGCACUAAGCAAACCAUUCUCACCACAGAGUUACAUUGAGUGCAUCAAAGAGACAGUAAUUUACUCUAAAUAAGACCAACUCAGUUGAGAUGUGUGCUCCAGUCUACUGCCUCUUGUGACACAAUCUGCACUGACAAGUGUUUGUAGACUUCCUGUGAUGCUGAAUCAUAUCAAAAUUGAUGAAGAAUCAGAGGAAUUGCCACUGAUGUGCUGCUGAUAGGGGGGAUGUCCUUCAGAUGAAUGGGAGUGUGACCACACUGGUGAUGCUACAGGUACCUCUCCUCAGAGUGACUAGACUCGACUCUGAAUACAGCUGCUAGACUCAAAACACCUAGUUCCUUGGCUUUUGUUUUCUUAUAGUUGAAAUAUUUGCAGAAGUUUAGUCCAUUUUUUUCUGACAAAUGAGAACUGAGGCCUACCUGAAGCCUUGCAAUUUCAGGAACACAAGUAUACUUGUAGUAUGAUUUUAUUGGCUAGGUUCAUAGUAGGUUUUCCUAGCAAAUGCCAAUAUGGAAAAACCAAACUUCGACAAAGGUCUAAAGAUUAGAGUUGAUAGUGUAGUCAAAGUUUGAUACAGUUUAAUAAAGUUUUCACAUUAUUUUCA